GAACAUCCAGAUAACAUUCUUCUGGUCAGGCUUCUGGAUGGCAUCAAGCAGAGAGGCCUUGGAAACCUAGCUGGUGGGGACAGUGGGACCAACUGCACAAAUACAUUAAGUGUUCAGGGCAGCACUAUGGCUAAUUGUAGUGCAAAAGAUCUAGAGACAAAAUAGGAAUAUUUUGUUAGCAGACAAAGUAAGAAUAUUUCUGAUUUCCUACAUUGAGUUUAACUUGGCUGCUAAGCAGCUGACAGAAUGGGAUAAUCCUCCCAUUCCAGUAGUUGAUACUGAAACAUGUACCUCAGCAGCAGCCCAGAGCAGCACUGCCACAAAGCAAUCUGACACCAAGAACAAGACCAAAAAGUGGUACUCCUUCACUUCCUUCACCAUGACAAACAAGUCCUCUCACACAUUCCAGAACUGGCAGGCCAUGGAGAUCAGCCCUCCUGUCCUCAUCAGCUCCAGCAACCUUCAGCUGCCACAAGUAUCAGAGAACUGUCUGGGCUUUCCUUCAGUGUCCCUUCUCAGAUUCAUGUGAGUACCGUCACGUUCAUUGUGACCCCACACCCAAGCAGCCCUGUGACCACUGGACCCUCGUUCACUUUCCUGUUGGAUGUCCCCUCUCCAGGUGCCCAUGGAACUAUGAAUCCUCCCUUUCCAGCACCCCCUAUCCUGGCUGCCACUGUCCUCACCUCCAUCCUACCAGGUGCUAUGCUGCUUCUGCUGGAAUGGGACCCAGUCUCAUGGCAGAAUCCACUGCUCACAGGUUAGAAGAUUGAAUAUUAUGAAGAUGUUAGUUCUCCCCAAUUUAUCUACAGAUUUGAUACCACCUCAUUACCAAUUCUAGCAGUCAAUUUUGUGGAAAUGUGCAUAUUAAUUCCAAAUGUAUAUAUUAAUUAACAUGUAUUAAUUCCCAAAUUUUAGCAGGUAUAUAUCAUCUCAGAACUGGGAUCAUAAUAUGGUAAAAGUAAUUAGG
rnacentral:lncRNA from 1 species